UACAGAGGGUGCGAGCGUUAAUCGGAAUUACUGGGCGUAAAGCGCACGUAGGCGGCUACUCAAGUCAGAGGUGAAAGCCCAGGGCUCAACCUUGGAACUGCCUUUGAAACUAGGUAGCUAGAAUUCUGGAGAGGUCAGUGGAAUUCCGAGUGUAGAGGUGAAAUUCGUAGAUAUUCGGAAGAACACCAGUGGCGAAGGCGACUGACUGGACAGAUAUUGACGCUGAGGUGCGAAAGCGUGGGGAGCAAACAGG
rnacentral:rRNA from 1 species